CCUACGGGUGGCAGCCCCGCCGUAGAUCUCGAGCUUCUCGAUGGUCUCCCAGCGCAUAAACGUCGAGAGCAGUCCGCCGAGCCCGAGGAUGUGGUCGAGGUGUCCGUGGGUGAUGAGGAUGCGGUUGAGCCGCUUGAAGCCUAUCCCCGACUGCAAGAUUUGCCGCUGUGUGCCCUCGCCGCAGUCCACCACAAAGCGGUACUCGUCAUGCUGUACCAUGUAGGCGGGCAGGUUGCGUUUGGGUGAGGGUGCCGAUGCGGACGUGCCGAGGAAGGUGAUUUCAAACAAGGGUGGGGGAUCCUUUCUGGAUACGCCCCAAUUUUACCCUAUCUUUUCCUUGCAGAAAUCCGCAUUUCUGGUACAAAUAUUGCACCUAUUCCUCUCAGAUACCCCAGUAGUC
rnacentral:rRNA from 1 species